rnacentral:lncRNA from 1 species
AUCUUGGCAUACCUUCUUAGCAGCAGCCCGUGUCUCCGCCUCUGUCUCCUCGUCUUUACGACGAAGCUUCUCCUCAAGAGUAUUGACCAUACCUAGGGCCUGCUACAUUUGAAGUUCCCGGCUCGCCAGCUCUUCAACAAGGUCCCGAUUUCGGGGGUCGUUUCUCAUGCGCUCGGGCAUCUCACGACACCGGUCCCAGUAACGACGGUAUUUUUCCGGCACCUACGAGCAAAUCCCUGAACAGACGUUGACUUGGCGAUGCUCUCCACCUUCAACAAAAAGAGUUACAAGAAUGAGGCAAUAAUCCAAACAGAAAAUCAGACAAAUUAAAUCAAAGAAAAAGAUGAACUAAAACUCAUUACACAUACCUUCAAGCUAUGCGCGGCCACCUCAUCC